rnacentral:tRNA from 1 species
CAUUAGAUGGCUGAACAGUAAGCAAUGGUCUCUUAAACCAAAAUAUAGUAUAUAUAUACUUCUAAUGG